GACGAACGCUGGCGGCGUGCUUAACACAUGCAAGUCGAGCGGUAAGGCCCUUUCGGGGUACGACGAGCGGCGAACGGGUGAGUAACACGUGGGUGACCUCGCCCUCCAGCUCUGGGAGUAAAGCCGUCGGGAAACCGGGUACUAAUACUGGAUAUGACUCCAUGACGCAUGUUGUGGGGUGGAAAGCCUUGUGCGGCUGAGGAUGGGCCCGCGGCCUAU
rnacentral:rRNA from 1 species